UUACAACAAAAACUAUCUGAAUGAAGAUAUGAAGGACAAAUAGGUGAUGAAAUUUCUCAGUUGAGAUGUAGAAGAGUGAUGUACAGUUGAUUCUUCAAUUCAAAACC